rnacentral:tRNA from 1 species
AAGGACUUAAACCUUCAUCCCCGGUCCCCAAAACCGGAAUCCUAUAAUUAAACUAUCCUUUGA